rnacentral:tRNA from 1 species
UCCCUGGUGGCUCAGUAGUAAAGAAUCUGCCUGCCAAUGCAGGAGAUGCAGGUUUGAUCCCUGGCCUGGGAA